UUCAACACACAAGAGAAAUAUUUCAACAACUUUUUAUAUUAUGAUGCAGAAUUCAAGAGCAAUUAAUAAAUAUGAUAACCAUUAACCACUAAAAAUUGGGACCUAACAGACAACAUUGCGGAUAAAUACAAAUGGAUUAACAAUAACAACCAAAGACAUAGUAACACAUUCUCAAAACAGAAUAAUAAAUAGUUAUAUCAAUCGACGAUGCAAAUGAAUAAAAAAAGCUGAAUAAAGAAAUGGGAGAAAAACCUAUAUGUCAUAAUAGAUUUCUCAAAGUAAGAUCCAUAGCAGUUGGACAUCAACAGUUUUAAUGUUCAAAAAAGGGUCAGUUCGUCACAAAAAAAAAUCUUCGCAUUAAUUCAAGUCUCUGUCGAGUCAUUUACUCGACUAGAGUCCUAAAUUUAUUAAACACUCAAAGUGACUCGAGUCUUCAAAUGGAGCGACUUAGACUCGUCAUCAAUUAACCACCAGUGACAACUUGAAUGAUGACCUAUGACUCAAAUGGGGGUCUAUGGGCUUCUACACAACACCAACUGCUUUAAAUAUGACCAUUUUUUACCUACAAACUAUUUUGCAACAGUAUGUGGUGUUUGUAAAUUUUCAGAAAUAGCCUGAAAAUCUCAUGUGUAAGCUUAUGUGGCAAUAUAUUAAUAAAUCUUUUUCUCAUGGAUAACUGAAACUAAAUAUUUUCGAACAUAUUGAAAUAAAAUUACCUUUCAUUUUCAUGUUGAUGGAAAUUUUUAACUACUUUGUUAUUUCUUUAAUUAAGUUAUGAGAUGCAUAUUGAAAAUGGUUGCGAUCGAACUUUUACGCCACAAAAGUAAAAUAAAGUUGCAAGGUUAGAUGUUAUAACAUACAGUUUGAGAAAAUAUCAAUAUUUCAACCAUCUGUACAGGAUCGUUUUUUAGUAAAAUUUGAGAUUUCCUAAAAUAAAGGCUUGAAACGUGGCAUGCAAUUACGAUUUCAUUCAAAAUUCGACAGCACAAAAAAGAAAUUAAGUUAAAAACACUCGGAAUAUAUCACAAGGCAAAAAAGUAAAAGUCAAAACAAACUAUGGUACUAAAUAGUUGAUAAUAAUAAUCAACUACUAUUGGGAAAUUUUGACAUAAAUGAGCUGAUAGAGUGGUUAGUUAAUCGUGGGAACGAAAUCUAUAAAUUGAUCAUUUCAAAAAGUAAAAUAGAACAAUUAAAUCAAGCUAACGCAAUUUGAUUGAAACUGGUACACAACUCACCAGAUAACAUGUGAGAAAUAAAAAGUAUAUCCUCAGAAAUUUUUUUCAGUUGAGAACAGAACACAAAGUAGACCAAUCCCAUACAUUGAUCAAUGUCGAAAUGUGUGGGAAAACUUUACAUAAAAAAUUAUAUGCAGCUCAGCCACAAAAUACCCAAUAAAUUUCUAUGAACAAGAUUCUAACAACAAUAUUAAAUUCAAUCUUUUGUGUGAAUAAAGUAAACAACUUUCAAUGAAAACAAAUAUACCCUUCACGCAGUUUUACACAAAAGUCUGUACUAAGCCAACAAUUAAGAUAUACUGCAGUUUCUAACUUUAUUUUUUAAGUAGUGUCGCAUUUGAAGAGAUAUUUCUUUAUUUUUAAAAUAAUAAUAAAGAAACUGGUAGCACUUGAUUCAAAAAAUGACCCUAUUUGAGCAAACUGCAUUAGAUAAACAUGAGAAACAACUGCCAUACAACAAAUCUUUUACCCCCUGGAUUACUGAACCAUUAUAUAUCAGUUUACCCCAAAACUUUUCAUGGAAAUAUAUAAUACAGUACAGAAUCAUCUAAAUUCGUACAUCAAAACAUAGCUCGUAAUCUCUUAAUUCAUAUAAAAUUCUUUCAUUGGACAUUUAUCUGUCUCAAAAUGACCAGUAUACAGUCAGCUAAAUGACAAAAUUUGGUGAUUUCAUGGGUUGUGUACGAAUUGACUUUAAAGUGAGUUUUCUUCAUUUCUGAACAAGCGUAUGUGGACGUACUAUGAGCAAAAAUUAUUCAAUGUGUGCGUAAAUUUGGACAGCUUUGGUUUAAAGGAUUAGUAACUGAAAUCGCGGCUUACAACAACUCAUUUUAUUCUUUCUCACAGUAACAGGUACACCAUUGAGAAUCACCAUUCAAUUUUUUUUACAAAGGCCACACGAGAUAUGAAAAAUACUGUUGGACGGAAAAAGACGAUAUUGUCAAAAACCAGAGUAUACAUUUAAUAAGCAUGACUUACUAAAAGUCCUCAUUGACAUGUGUCAUAAUAAAAUUCUCAACAUCAAAUUGAGAAAACAAUUCAGUUUUUUGCAUGAGGUAAAGAAGAAAA